AUUGAACGCUGGCGGCAGGCCUAACACAUGCAAGUCAACCGAGUGGCGGCCGUGUGAGUAAUGUCUGGGACACUGCCUGAUGGAGGGGGAUAACUCCUGGAAACGGUAGCUAAUACCGCAUACCAUCAGAUGUGCCCAGAUGGGAUUAGCUAGUUGGUGGGGUAACGGCUCACCAAGGCGACGAUCCCUAGCUGGUCUGAGAGGAUGACCAGCCACACUGGAACUGAGACACGGUCCAGACUCCUACGGGAGGCAGCAGUGGGGGAUAUUGCACAAUGGGGGGAAGACUGAUGCAGCAAUGCGGCGUGUAUGAAGAAGGCCUGCGGGUUGUAAAGUACUUUCGGAGAAGAGGCGGUACCCGCAGAAGAAGCACCGGCUAACUCCGUGCCAGCAGCCGCGGUAAUAC
rnacentral:rRNA from 1 species